CAGCAGGAGCAGCGGGUAAUCAGUAGCCAUAAUAAUCAUCAUAAUCAUAAUCAUCAGUUGAGCAAUAAUCAGAACAAUGGGGAUGAUCUGAAUCACAACAGCAGCCACCAGCAAAACCAGAAUCAGUGUCUGUUUGGGAGUGAUAAUCAUGCCGGGUCAUGUUCAUCAUCCUAGAUCGAGAUUAUUAUAAUGGGUAAUAAUAAUAAUUAAUAAGUACUUUAAUUUGUAGGUAGUUUUAGAGAGAAAGAUGAGAGAGGGGAACAAUGGAGGAUUAAGGGUGGUAAUGAUUAUUAGCGACAUGUUAAUCAAUCAAUCAUUG
rnacentral:lncRNA from 1 species